GACGGAGGAUGCAAGUGUUAUCCGGAAUCACUGGGCGUAAAGCGUCUGUAGGUGGUUUAAUAAGUCAACUGUUAAAUCUUGAGGCUCAACCUCAAAAUCGCAGUCGAAACUAUUAGGCUAGAGUAUAGUAGGGGUAAAGGGAAUUUCCAGUGGAGCGGUGAAAUGCGUAGAGAUUGGAAAGAACACCGACGGCGAAAGCACUCUGCUGGGCCGACACUGACACUGAGAGACGAAAGCUAGGGGAGCGAAUGGG
rnacentral:rRNA from 1 species